CGACAGCCUUCUUCCUCCGCCCAGCCGCCACAGUAAUUUGUCGUCAAGUCUGCCACAGGAGGAUAUUUUGUUCUGGGUUAACCUGCCUUUUUACCUCGCAGGUUGUUUAUCAAUAUUGUGUAAUUUUAAUUACUCCUAGAAUUUCCGCAUGUGUUAGCAGUAAUUAUUUGAAAUUGGUCUGUAAUAUUAUAUUCAUGUUGGACCUGUAAACUUAAUAUUUUAAGUCUGUUUUGAUGGAUUGGAUGAGGGAGCUGAGCUCCCAUUUAUUAUUA